CUUGGAGACCAGAGACAUCUUCGUCCCCUCCAGCCAGUAGGUCACCAUGUCCCCUUUACCCUGCAGGACACUGGGAGUUACUGGGAGCACUGGGAAUUACUGGGAGUUACUGGGAGCACUUGGAGUUACUGGGAGUUCCUGGGAGCUACUGGGCUGACUGUGAUCCUGACCUUGACCUGCAGCGUUCCUCUACACUCCAGCACGUAUCCUCCGAUCUCCUCCAGCAGGUAGAAGGUGCUGCAGCUGCACUGGAUCUUCAGAGCUGAAACACAACCAGUAAAACCAGUGGAACCAGUGGAACCAGUGGAGCCAGUGGAACCAGUGGAGCCAGUGGAACCAGACAACUUCCCUUCAGACUCCUCCUCGGAGUAGUCUGCUGGUUCUGGAUCUGGUUGUAGUACCGAGGCUGUUGGACUCCAUCCUGGACGCCGUGUUCACCGUGUCUCCAAACAGACAGUACCGAGGCAUCUUGGUUCCGACCACUCCGGCCACGACUGGACCUGCAGACACAGCAGAACCUCAAAACCUCAGAGCCAGCUUCUUCACAACCAGCAGAACGUCGGGUUCUGGUGGAGCCUCGAGUUACCAGAGUGGAUUCCGGCCCGGAUCUGCAGCUGAGUGUUGGGUUUGUGGGGGAUCCGGAAGGUUCUGCAGACGCCCACCAGGUCCAGAGCCAUGCUGGCGAUCUGAGAGGCAUGAAGGAUCCCGUUGACCCGCGGAACCCCGGAGACCACCAUGUCUACACAACAACAACAACAACAACACAACAAUGGCGUCUCCGAUGGUUUCCACCUUGUAGACGUCGUAGUUGUCGAUGAUGUCGUCAAACGUGGUGUAGAGCUUGUUGAGGAAGUCGACCACCUGGUAAGGAGUGCUGCUGCUGGACAGCUGGGUGAAGCCCACGAUGUCGCUGCAAGCAAAGAUACGCCGAUUAUUACCGAAGUUCACCUCCACCUCGCCGUCCGAGCUGCUUCUACUUGCAGCCAGGUACAUCUGAGAGGCUCUGAGGUGGGUGAGGGUUAGUUCAGAGGGGAAGUCUCUCAGCUGAUCUGCAUAUCAGCUGGUUUUUAAUUGUACCUGAAGAAGACGGUGGCGCUGACGUAGCUCUGAGCCUGCAUCGGUUUCCCCAGACGGAGGUCAUCGGCCACCUGCUUAGGAAGCAUACCUGCAGCACAAACAUGAAACACCGAGGUUUGACUCAUCCAUCGUGUUUUCUUUAAAGAGAGAACAGCAUAGAGCUCAGCAAAUCUGGAAAAUAAAAGGAGUCGAUGCAUGUUAGUAACCCUUAGUGCCUGACUUAGUGUCCAAAUUCACAUUCCUGCUUCUCAGUUGAACUGUUCUUUUAGUCUUUAUGGCAGCAAAGUUUGUCAUACGUUAAAUGAAACUGUGAGGAACUCACAACAUAAUUUAGUCUUUUUAAACAAUAGGUUUUUUUUUAGUAUUCUAGACAAAUUCAAAGUCUUUUUGGUCAAAGUUAAGUAAUAGCAGACAAAUUUCAAAUCAUUUAUGACGUGUUUUGGUCUUUUUGUUCCAUUCUUGAGGUAUUUUGAACCAAGAUUCAAACAUUUGGAGGAAUUUUUGUCUCCUUUUGGAUAGCUUUAGAAAAAAAUGGUUUUAGGAGUUUUGAAUGAUCAAUUUCACAUCAUUUUGGACAAACUGAGUCAUUUAGAACAAGUUUUAAUCAUUUUUGAGCAAAUUUUGACUCAUUUAGGAAAAAAUAUGAUUAAUUUAUAACAUAUUUUAAUAAUUUUUAGACCAAUUCUAAGUCAUUUUGGUCAAAAACUAGGAAUAGUAGAGAAAGUUUGAGUCAUUUAGGACAUGUUUUAGUAUUUUAGAACCAUUUUGGAUUAAUUUGGGGAAACAUUGUUCAGAAUUAUACGGAUCAUAAUUUUUUUAUCCAUCUUAGACUCCUUUUCUUUGUUCUUUUCUUUCUUUCUUUCUUGAAUAUGAGUAACUAGUAUGAUGUCUAAAAAGUAUAGUAAAUAUGUUUUUUAAAUUAGAUUUUAUUUGGGGAAAUGAUGGAAGGUAAUUUGGAUGUUAUAGAUAAAGAUAAUCACAACAUCUGCAUAGAGACGAGUCUUUUCUCUGAAUGUGUUUAAAAAUGUAAAACACAGCAGGAGUGAGCGCAGAAACCUGGGUUAGUUUCAUUACAGGUGUAAGAUCUUAAUUUAUCAGUAACCAAAUCAUGAGGAUGACCCAGUGUUUGUGUGUUUUUGUUUGUUUUUAUGUGUCGUACUGUACAGCAGGCGGUCAGUUUUCUGCUUCUCGUGCAUCAGAUCCUGAGUCCGUUCAGCCACCAACACCUCCAGAUGUUUGCUGUACUUCUCCAUCUGAAACCAAGACAGUCCAUACUGUUCAUCAUCAUGUCCACCGGGCUGACUUUGAUCGGGUUGAUCCGGUGAACAAACUUCCUGAUUUGUUCAAACGUGGGCCGGUGGGCGGGGUUAUGAGAGCGACAUCGCCGGAUCAGCUACGGAAACACAAACGGGACAAAACACAGCAGCAACGCGGUCAGUAUGAAGGAGAGGCAGAGCAGGCUGAGCGGCAGGCCGAUGGCCAGUUUGGUGGCAGCUGUCAUCGGACAUUCACCACAGUCGGCUGGACAGGUGGAACAAAGCUCCGCCUCUUCGCAGACGCCAUCGCCACAGACUGAGAAUGAAAACAUUAAAGACUGGGCAGGUACUUGAUCAUGUUUAAACAACCGUCCCAAAAUAGUCUUAAUCUUAAAGAAGAAGACACGUCUAAUCUUGUUAUCGGUCGUUGGAAUAACAGCCCUGGACACACCUCACAGAGGUUUAAAAGCUGAGGCAACACCAACCACCACCAGAACUGAAGAAGCCUCUUGGAUGAGAGGUGAAACGUCUUCUAGGAACUUUCUUAAAGUCCAGUGGAUUGAUUUAAACUACUUUGGAUAACCAUGACCUGGAUGAAUGAGAACCUGCACAGACUUCUUUAGUCAUGUUUAAACGUGGAGCAGAAACAAACCUACCUACAGCUGGCAGGACGGUGCUUUUAGCCUCCAGAGCAACCUGCAUUCGACCGACUCGUAUGUGAGCGAUGAGCGAAGUUAAACCGGCGUGGAACAAAACCACCUGCAAGACAAUGUGUUGGGUUAUCAGGUGCUGAGGAGGUCAAGGAACAAACUGUAAGAACUUCAUGUCAAAGUAACCAAAGCCGAUUGGUUAGAGUCAAAUUCAACCUUAGAUUAGUUGAAUUCAUUGAGUUUGUUAGUGAUGUUAUCAUUUUUUCUCUGUCUGAAAACACUCUGGGUCACAUCCUGUGGUCUUAAAUGUGAUACAUUAAUCAAAAUGAUAGCAACUUAAUUAAUUAGCACAGAGCAAAAUAGCCUCUCAGAGCCUGAAAACAAAGCUAACUGUGAGAUAAAGUGGUGUAUCAUCUGUGUAUAGCUUUAUAUGACUCUUAAUUCAUUUGGGACAGACAUGGUGUAUUGUGAUAAUGAUCCUAUGAAGUUUGGUGUGUUUUAUGCUCAAGACAAGUUGCAUUUUUCCACUUUGAUUGUUAGAAUGUCUUUAUGAGAGAUUUUUUUUUGUUAUUUUUGGUCUUUUUUGUUGUUUUAAAUACAUUAAUCGCAUUGACCUGAUAAAAGCUGAAGUUUGCAAAUCUGAAGCAUCUUGCUGUGUUAGAUAGCAGUGAGACUGAUGAGGAAGAAGCUUCACAGAGCCUGAAAAUAAAAGUUACUAUGGGAUAAAGUAGAAUGUCAUCUGCAUAUAGCUCUUCUUAAUUCAUUCAGGACAGAUAUAGUGUAUUUUAAUAAUGAUCCUAUGAAGUUUGGUUUAUUUUAUGAUCAGAAUAAGUUGCAUUUUUGUACUUUGAUUGUUUGAACGUCUUGAGAUAUUUUUUUGUUGCUUUAACCAGUUACACAAUCUAAUGAUGUUCAUUUCCAAAGUCGAAUGGAUGAUUAGGUGGUCAGUAAGCUGUCAUUUAACCAUCUUUUUACAGAUUGUAUCUGUUUCCAUUCACCUAAAAAGCACUGAAAAAUGUGUCCUUUAUUGUGCUUAUUUUAUUGUUCAUAUAUUUUCAGCUACAUUUCCCACCUUUAGUGUCUGUCUCAGCGUUACAAGGUGGUUCAAAGAGGAAGAGUCUGUCCUAAACUUAAAGAUUACCCAAAAAGAGACACAAUCCACUCCAUCACUGUUUUUACACUUUUAAUAAUGGCUUGACAAGAACAAUAAAUGUAAAUCAGUGAGUGAU